CACGUAGGGUGCAAGCGUUAAUCGGAAUUACUGGGCGUAAAGCGUGCGCAGGCGGUUUUGUAAGACAGAGGUGAAAUCCCCGGGCUCAACCUGGGAACUGCCUUUGUGACUGCAAGGCUUGAGUGCGGCAGAGGGGGAUGGAAUUCCGCGUGUAGCAGUGAAAUGCGUAGAUAUACGGAGGAACACCGAUGGCGAAGGCAAUCCCCUGGGCCUGCACUGACGCUCAUGCACGAAAGCGUGGGGAGCAAACAGG
rnacentral:rRNA from 1 species